AAAAAGAUGGCAAAACAUCCAGAAGGGGGUGCUCUAAAGAAAGUGGGGCUCAACCUCCCAUGAGAGGAAAAAAAAGUAAAAGAAGAGAAGGCCAGAAGACCCAAGACAAACACUGGGGGCAUGAGACAUUUGAUGGGCUGAAGAAAGUGGAUCUUCCAGGAUGGCUUUGAUUUUCCUGGUGCGUCACAGACAAGCCCACCAGCAGGGCAUUCUCAGCCUGGCCACAGCCCAGUGACAGCAGCCACACAGAACUAAGUGUCAAUCAGCUUUAUCUGGGGACACCAGCAUUUGAAUUUCUUGUCCUUUUUUGUUUGUUUGUUUGUAAACAUUCUUCUUUUAAUGUUCUGUUUCAGGCAUUUUAAAGUGGAAACUCUGUUCACAGUUCAUGGGCCAUGUAAAGGCAGGUGCACACCAGCUCGCCCUAGAGGUCACAGUCUGCUGGCUCCAUAUUAGAGCAAAGCAUACCAGACGUUUCUGUGAUACUGAGAAGUGAGAGAGGGCCUUGGCCAGAGCCCACUCCCUUAGACAGCACGAGGACUGGCCGGGGGACCUUUCCUCUGCCCAGCGCCUGGGCUGAUGUCGCUGGUGAGCCUCGGAAAGGAGCUUCCUCCUCCCCCGAGGACUACUUAACUGGCAGGUGGAAUGAAAGGAGUUUUGUCUGAGAUGUGUACUGUAAAAUCCAGCUCACGUGGGAAGAUCGUCGCGAAUAAAGAGCUCCUGCUUGCAUCUUGAAAUGAAAGGGGGAACGUUCUCACCCUAUCACCGGAUAAACAUGCACUUAACAGUUUCAGUCAUUGUCCUCGAGAGUGCUUAUGUAUGCUAGCUAGCUAGGUACUAGAGAGAGUUUAUCCCUUUAAACAGGAACCAUGCCUACGACCGCCUGCUUCCUUUGUUACCUAAAUGCUCUAGGUUAUGGCCUUCUUUUGCUG
rnacentral:lncRNA from 1 species